UACUCUCGUGGUGAAUCAUCGAAUCUUUGAACGCACAUUGCACCUCCUAGCUUGCUGGGAGGUAUGUCUGUUUGAGUAUCAUAUCUACGAUCCUACACUUCGGUGUAGGGAUUUGAGCGUUCAACCUGCAAAGGUCGUCGCUUUAAAUAUAUGGGGCUAAAACUCAGAGCGCGAGGCUAUCCAAUGGGAUUAACGCGCACCAGUCGCAAGACUAUACCAUGCCAGGCAACGAAGUGGUAUAGUUGAUGGUGCAGCAGAUUUCAAAGGCAACCUCGAGUUUUCCAGGAGGAAAGCGCUUAAAACGUGAUCUCAAAUCAGACAAGAGUACCCGCUAAACUUAAGCAUAUCAAUAAGCGGAGG
rnacentral:rRNA from 1 species